rnacentral:other from 1 species
UGUUUCCUGAAGUGUACGACAACUUCUGUAUUUUUGAACCUACAACACUUUAAAAGGGAUUCCUACAUCUGCAGCCCUAUGUCGGGCCGUCACUGCAUAUGCGCUAUAUGCAUGUAUGUACUUAUGGCAACAUAGCAACGGAAGGCAGAAGACUGCAUGCGGUUGCCCACCUAGCCUCUGCUAGGAGUCAAAAAACAGAAGCCGGCAUUUCGGGAUAGGU